UGAAACUUAAUGCUGUUCUUAAUUACUUUUUUUCUAAAUUGUACUGGUGGCUAAUUUAGAAUAUUUUCUUUAUAGGUAAUGCAUUGCCAGUGACAUAACUACGUUCGCAGUUAUAGUAAUUUCAACGGGACCAAGAAAGACCUACUGGACUACUUACGAUGAUUAACUUUGUUGAAUAAUAUCGUGGCUUCAAUAGCUUAUUCAACGUUGGAGCGUAUUCGAGGCGGGCGUACCUUGUGGAAGAGGACCGGUUAGAAGUUUGGAGCUCGAGACAAUCUUGGAAUGAUUAAAAGGCCAUUGGUUCAUUCAUAGGCCAGCGUGGGAUCUUAAUCGUUGGUCGUGGCGUAAGCGCAAUUUCUUUGAAGUACCUGAAGUCCCAUAGUCCCAGUGCAGGAAGAUUGUUACCAAACAACUGUAAGAUGGUUGUAACUCAACGGUCGUGCUCUUAUCAACAGACCUUACUUCACUAUCUACUUGUAUGGAUGAACAGUCUCUCCUGCUCCACGAGCGAGGUGUAAUUGUAAUGUUAUUCAGGAGGACUUCGAGUAAUCUAGACUUCA